rnacentral:lncRNA from 1 species
CUCUUUGCCUGCUGCCAUCCAAGUGGUAUGUGACUUGCUGCUCCUUGCCUUCUGCCAUAAUUGUGAGGCCUCCUCAGCCACAGGGAAAUGCUUAUAGGCAGAAGAGACUUGGCUUGUCUCAGAUGAAACUUUGGACUGUGGAGUUUUGAGUUAAUGCUGAAAUUAGGACUCUGCUUACCCUUUGUGAAUAAGCCCAGUGAAUCUGCUGAGUGAUGAGAGAGAGAGUGGGCCAGUCACUUCAUUGCUCCAGGAUUUUCUGUUGAAUGACACUUCAUAAAAAAGACUUUGAUUACUGAGUUACAAAGACAAUUGUAUCUUCUUGUAAAGCAUACAGUCUUCGUGGUCCUACCCCAUGAACUGCCUGUCCCAGGACGGUUUUACGGUGGUUAUGUUGAACAUGUAAAUAUUCUCCCUGCUGUGAGUAUUACUGCAGCUGCCCAAAGAUGCUAUAUUUUAAAGAUGUGGAUACAGGAAGAUAAAAGCAUCAGAAACACUGCAUGAGGUUGUGUAAGCAGAAGCUGGAAGACCCUUGAAAAGAGCAUUCAUUCAAGAAAUGAAGCAUGAAAUAGGAUGGAAGGAGGGAAGAAAGACAAGCACAUGGCAUAUCAGGUCUCUUCCAGUGCUAAAGGCUGCCUAUGAUACUCAUCUGACCUGAUUUCUCCUGCACAGUGUUGCAACUGACGAGUAGCAGACUUGCCCUUGCCUGCAUUUGGGGGGAUGGCUGAGACUUUUCUUAUAGAAAGCCCUACUUUCAGCAU